rnacentral:rRNA from 1 species
GAUGAACGCUGGCGGCGUGCCUAAUACAUGCAAGUCGAGCGAACAGACGAAAAGCUUGCUUCCCGGAUGUUAGCAGCGGACGGGUGAGUGACACGUGGAUAACCUACCGAUAAGACUGGGAUAACUUCGGGAAACCGUAGCUGAUACCAGAUAAUAUAUUGAACCGCAUUGUUCAAUAGUGAAAGACGGUAUUGCUGGCACUAAUGGAUGGAUCCGCGCUGCAGUAGCUAGUUGGAAAGGUAACGGAUUAACAAGGCAAAGAUGCAGAUCAGCCCUCAGAGGGUGGUCGGCCAAACUGGAUCGGAGACGUGGUCCACAACCCUACGGGAGGGACCCGUAGCAAACCUUCCGCAAUGGGCGCAGGCCUGACGGAGCAACGCCGCGUGAAUCAUGAAGGUCUUCGGACCGUAAAAUUUUGUUAGCAGGGAAGUACAUAUAUGCAAGUAUCUAUGCAGAACUUGACGGUACCUAACCAAAAAGCCCCGGCUAACUACGUG